UAGGGAGGAUGGGGUCCGGACCCCCUCCCUGAGCCCACAGUAACCUUGAAAGUGGAGGGGAA
rfam:Rattus norvegicus chromosome 2, whole genome shotgun sequence.